rnacentral:tRNA from 1 species
GCCGGGAUCGUCUAGGGGUUAGGAUAGGAGACUGUGGAUCUUCUGACACGAGUUCAAAUCUCGUUCUCGGCCC